rnacentral:rRNA from 1 species
UACGGGGGGGGCAAGCGUUGUUCGGAAUUACUGGGCGUAAAGGGCUCGUAGGUGGCCAACUAAGUCAGACGUGAAAUCCCCAGGCUCAACUUGGGAACUGCGUCUGAUACUGGAUGGCUUGAAUUCGGGAGAGGGAUGCAGGAUUCCAGGUGUAGCGGUGAAAUGCGUAGAUAUCUGGAGGAAUACCGGUGGCGAAGGCGGCAUCCUGGACCGAGAUUGACACUGAUGAGCGAAAGCCAGGGGAGCAAACGGG